rnacentral:rRNA from 1 species
UACGUAGGGUGCGAGCGUUGUCCGGAAUUAUUGGGCGUAAAGGGCUCGUAGGCGGUUUGUUGCGUCGGCUGUGAAAUCCCGAGGCUCAACCUCGGGUCUGCAGUCGAUACGAGCAAACUAGAGUGUUGCAGGGGAGACUGGAAUUCCUGGUGUAGCGGUGAAAUGCGCAGAUAUCAGGAGGAACACCGGUGGCGAAGGCGGGUCUCUGGGCAACAACUGACGCUGGAGGAGCGAAAGCGUGGGGAGCGAACAGG